rnacentral:rRNA from 1 species
GAGCGAGGUAGCAAUACCUAGCGGCAGACGGGUGAGUAACAUGUGGGAAUCUGCCUUUUGGUUCGGAACAACACGGGGAAACCUGUGCUAAUACCGGAUAAGCCCUAACGGGGAAAGUUUUAAUGCCAAAAGAUGAGCCCGCACUUGAUUAGCUAGUUGGUAAGGUAAAGGCUUACCAAGGCAACGAUCAAUAGCUGUUCUUAGAGGAAGACCAGCCACAUUGGGACUGAGACACGGCCCAAACUCC